UAUCAACCAGGUGACAGGGGAUGUUGCUCCGAAACUAGGAGAGACAGAAGUAGCCAGAUUCUCAUCUCCAUGUGGGAUUUGGGGACAGUUGGAAUGUAGCAAACAGUAUCAUCUUAACCACAGCAAGGAAAAAUGUGUACCACGUCUGGUGGUUUAUAUGCCA